CAGUAGCCGCGGUAAUACGUAGGGCGCAAGCGUUGUCCGGAAUUAUUGGGCGUAAAGAGCUCGUAGGCGGUCUGUCGCGUCUGGUGUGAAAUCCCGAGGCUCAACCUCGGGCUUGCAUCGGGUACGGGCAGACUAGAGUGCGGUAGGGGAGACUGGAAUUCCUGGUGUAGCGGUGGAAUGCGCAGAUAUCAGGAGGAACACCGAUGGCGAAGGCAGAUCUCUGGGCCGCAACUGACGCUGAGAGCGAAAGCAUGGGGAGCGAACAGGAUUAGAUACCCCAGUAGUCCCUGUCUCUUAUACA
rnacentral:rRNA from 1 species